rnacentral:tRNA from 1 species
GUCCCUGACGAGGAAUCAGGGACCCUGCUAAGGUGGAGUACCCUAACGGGUACCGAGGGUUCAAAUCCCUCCGUCU